AUGCUACUGUAUUGUUUUUUGGAGGCCCAGUGUAGCACUGACUGGCCUCUCAGCCUCAGUGCCUGGCUGUUUCUUGCCUGUGAUGGUGUUGAUUCUUAUUGUUGUUGUUGUUGUCAUUGUUAUUAUUGUAAUUGUUUUUUUUGGAGGCCAAGUGUGAAUGUAGGGAUUGGGGAGGUGGAUGAGUUGUGUUGUCAAAUUUCGUAUUUCUGGGGCGUUUAGUUGUGUUGUUAUAGUCACAAUGCGUUGUUGUGAGUUUUGUGUUUGAUUUCAGUGGCUAGCAAAACUUCUCAGAAAAUUGUAUAGUGAUUGAAAUUAAAAUUCACUUUGUACCCUGCCUUCAGAUUUAUAAUCUAAAUAAGACAUGGCAUAAAAGCAGAAGAGCAGAGGAUCCAAUAACUCGAGGACUGUAUCAAGACCCUUAAGGACAUUUGGGAACUCGAGCUCUUCUUGGACACUGCACAACAUACUGUUCUAGAUACACAAACCACAUCACAUCAACACAACCAUGAUAAGGAACUUUAUGGGGAGAUCAAUUCAAAUGUGGACAACCCUCAGGCUUGGAAGGAGGUCACCCGUAGAAAGAGACACAGGACCAGGCAGCCUCCACAGAAUACUUCUGCUCAGCUUGACUUACACAACAGAUUCCAAAUUCUUACACCACUAACAUCUGAUCAGGAAACACAUCUUGUGGAGGACCACUGUUACUUAGAUUCCACUCAGU
rnacentral:lncRNA from 1 species